rnacentral:piRNA from 1 species
UCAAUUGCGUGGCCAUCAUACCCUUUACC